CUACGGGUGGCUGCAGUAAGGAAUAUUGGACAAUGGUCGGAAGACUGAUCCAGCCAUGCCGCGUGAAGGAUGAAGGCGCUCAGCGUUGUAAACUUCUUUUGUACAGGAACAAAAUGCGACCUGCGGGUUGUACUGAGGGUACUGUAAGAAUAAGCACCGGCUAACUCCGUGCCAGCAGCCGCGGUAAUACGGAGGGUGCAAGCGUUAUCCGGAAUCACUGGGUUUAAAGGGUGCGUAGGCGGUCUGAUAAGUCAGUUGUGAAAUUCCCUCGCUUAACGAGUGGGACUGCGAUUGAUACUGUUGGACUUGAAUCAGGUUGAGGUAGGCGGAAUGUGGCAUGUAGCGGUGAAAUGCAUAGAUAUGCCAUAGAACACCAAUUGCGAAGGCAGCUUGCUGGGCUUUGAUUGACGCUGAGGCACGAAAGCGUGGGGAGCAAACAGGAUUAGAUACCCCCGUAGUC
rnacentral:rRNA from 1 species